rnacentral:rRNA from 1 species
UACGUAGGGUGCGAGCGUUGUCCGGAAUUAUUGGGCGUAAAGGGCUCGUAGGCGGUUUGUCGCGUCGGGAGUGAAAACCCAGGGCUUAACUCUGGGCUUGCUUUCGAUACGGGCAGACUAGAGGUAUGCAGGGGAGAACGGAAUUCCUGGUGUAGCGGUGAAAUGCGCAGAUAUCAGGAGGAACACCAGUGGCGAAGGCGGCACUCUGGGCCGGUACUGACGCUGAGGAGCGAAAGCGUGGGGAGCGAACAGG